UAAAGGGAAGUUGUAUAAAGUCAAGUAAGUUGAUGGAAGGUAAGGUAUGAAAACCUCUCAAACCAACAAUUUGGUGGGUUUAAAAAGUGAGGUUUUUGGAGCUUUUGACCUUACCUCUAAAACCUUCCUCCCAAAUAAGAGCAUUACUUGAGAGACCUCCUACUUUACAUCUAAAGCCUUCCUCCCUAACAUAGUGUUAGUAGUGUUGCUAAACUUACCUCGUACUGCUACUUAUUUGUGGAAUUUAUUUCAAAAAGAACUGAUGAUGACUAAUUUAUUUGUUUCUCUGUCCUGUUUACCCUGAUUUUGGUUGUGAUUCUUGAAAUUGCUGGACUUCAUGGUGUUUCUGCUUGAUCUUAAGUUCGUGUGUAUGGUUAAAAUAAUUGCUCCUUAAGUUUUUUUUUUCCUAGUCGAAGCAUGUUCCUUAAGUUUGAA
rnacentral:lncRNA from 1 species